GCGCUCGUAGCUCAGCUGGAUAGAGCACUGGUUUGCGGUACCAGCGGCCGAUGGUUCGAAUCCAUCCGUGCGCACCA
rnacentral:tRNA from 1 species